GAUGAACGCUGGCGGCGUGCCUAAUACAUGCAAGUCGAGCGAACAGAUGAGGAGCUUUCUCCUCUGACGUUAGCGGCGGACGGGCGAGUAACACGUGGAUAACAUACUUUUAAGACUGGGAUAACUUCGGGAAACCGGAGCUAAUACCGGAGUAUAUAAUGAACCGCAUGGUUCAUUAGUGAAAGACGGUCUUGCUAUCACUUAUAUACGUAUCCGCGACGCAUUAGCUAGUUGGUAAGGUAACGGCAUACCAAGGCAACGAUGCGUAGCCGACCUGAGAGGGGGAUCCGCCACACUAGAACGGAGACACGGUCCAGACUCCUACGGGAGGCAGCAGUAGGGAAUCGUCCGCAAUGGGCGAAAGCCUGACGGAGCAACGCCGCGUGGGUGAUAAAGAUCUUCGGAUCGUAAAUCUCUGUUGUUAGGGAAGAACAAAUAUGUAAGUAACUAUGAACGUCUUGACAGUACCUAAUCAGAAAGCAACGGCUAACUACGUG
rnacentral:rRNA from 1 species